UCGGACGUGGUGUAUGGAACACAGCGAGCUCAUUUAAAUAGUGAUGUUGAGAAUACUACUUGCAGUCCGGGGUUCGACUCCUCGCGUCCGAA